rnacentral:sRNA from 1 species
GCAGGGCAUGGUGGCGCAUGCCUGUAAUCCCAGAGGCUCAGGAGGCUGAGGCAGGAGGAUUUUGAGUUCAAAGCCAGCCUCAGCAAUUUAGCAAGGUCCUAAGCAACUCAGUGAGACCCUGUCUCUA